UGACGAUGGUGGUGGUGGUAGCAGUGAUGAUGAUAGUGGUGAUGAUGAUGGUGAUGGUAUGAUGAUUAAUAUGGUACAGUGGUGAUGAUGGUGAGAGGUUAUGAAGGGGGUUGUGACAGUGGUGGUAAUGAUUGUGACCUUGGUGAGAGUUGGUGAUGGUGGUGGUUGUGAGUGUGGUGACCAUGGUGAGAGUUGGUGGUGGUGGUGGUGGUGGUGGUAGUGGUGACGGCAAUGACGAUGAUAGUAUGAUGAUCAAUAUGGUAUGGUGGUGAUGAUGGUGAGAGGUUAUAGGGCUGGUGGUGACGGGGUAGUGGUGGUGAUUGUGGUGACAGUGGUGAGAGUUAAUGGUGGUGGUGGUACUGGUGAUGGCAAGAAUGAUAAUGAUGGUAUGGUGACCAAUAUGGUAUGGUGGUGAUGAUGGUGAGAGGUGGUGGUGGUGGUGACAAUGAUAGUGAUUGUGGUGACGAUGGUGAGAGGUGGUGGUGGUGAUGGUGAUGGUGGUGGUGGUGGUGGUGGUGAUGAUGAUAGUGGUGAUGGUGAUGAUGGUAGCAUGAUGACCAAUAUGGUAUGGUGGUGAUGAUGGUGAGAGGUGGUGGUGGUGGUGAUGAUGGUGAGAGGUGGUGGUAGUUAUAGUGGUGGUGACAAUGGUAGUAGUGAUUGUGGUGACGAUGGUGAGAGGUGGUGGUGGUAGUGGUGAUGGUGGUGGUGGUGGUGAUGAUGAUGAUAGUGGUGAUGGUGAUGUUGGUAGCAUGAUGACCAAUAUGAUAUGGUGGUGAUGAUGGUGAGAGGUGGUGGUGGUGGUGAUGAUGGUGGUAGUGAUUGUGGUGACGAUGGUGAGAGGUGGUGGUGGUGAUGAUGGUGGUGGUGGUGGUCGUGGUGGUGAUGAUAGUGGUAAUGGCGACGAUGGCAGUUUGAUGACCAAUAUGGUAUGGUGGUGAUGAUGCUGAUUAUGAUGUUGUUGGGAGCAGGAGAUGAGGAACCUGUAUCUUGAUGCUUCCCUGAAUGUUGGGGGUCAGGUCUGAGAUGUGUCAAGC
rnacentral:lncRNA from 10 species